rnacentral:rRNA from 1 species
GCGGAAGACUACCAUGCAGUCGAACGGUAACAGGAAACAGCUUGCUGUUUUGCUGACGAGUGGCGGACGGGUGAGUAAUGUCUGGGAAACUGCCUGAUGGAGGGGGAUAACUACUGGAAACGGUAGCUAAUACCGCAUAACGUCGCAAGACCAAAGAGGGGGACCUUCGGGCCUCUUGCCAUCGGAUGUGCCCAGAUGGGAUUAGCUAGUAGGUGGGGUAACGGCUCACCUAGGCGACGAUCCCUAGCUGGUCUGAGAGGAUGACCAGCCACACUGGAACUGAGACACGGUCCAGACUCCUACGGGAGGCAGCAGUGGGGAAUAUUGCACAAUGGGCGCAAGCCUGAUGCAGCCAUGCCGCGUGUAUGAAGAAGGCCUUCGGGUUGUAAAGUACUUUCAGCGGGGAGGAAGGGAGUAAAGUUAAUACCUUUGCUCAUUGACGUUACCCGCAGAAGAAGCACCGGCUAACUCCGUGCCAGCAGCCGCGGUAAUACGGAGGGUGCAAGCGUUAAUCGGAAUUACUGGGCGUAAAGCGCACGCAGGCGGUUUGUUAAGUCAGAUGUGAAAUCCCCGGGCUCAACCUGGGAACUGCAUCUGAUA